UGGGGAAUUUUCCGCAAUGGGCGCAAGCCUGACGGAGCAAUACCGUGUGAGGGAGGAAGGCUUUUGGGUUGUAAACCUCUUUUCUCAAGGAAGAAGCACUGACGGUACUUGAGGAAUCAGCAUCGGCUAACUCCGUGCCAGCAGCCGCGGUAAUACGGAGGUUGCAAGCGUUAUUCGGAAUUAUUCGGCGUAAAGCGUCCGCAGGUGGUGCCUCAAGUCUGCUGUCAAAGACCGAAGCUCAACUUCGGGCAGGCUGUGGAAACUGAAGCACUAGAGUACGGUAGGGGGAGAGGGAAUUUCCAGGGUAGCGGUGAAAUGCGUAGAGAUUGGAAAGAACACCAGUGGCGAAGGCGCUCUACUGGACCGUAACUGACACUCAGGGACGAAAGCGAGGGGAGCGAGAGGGAUUAGAUACCCCCGUAGUCC
rnacentral:rRNA from 1 species